UACGUAGGGUGCGAGCGUUGUCCGGAAUUACUGGGCGUAAAGAGUUCGUAGGCGGUUUGUCGCGUCGUCUGUGAAAACCCAUCGCUCAACGAUGGGCCGGCAGGCGAUACGGGCAGACUUGAGUACUGCAGGGGAGACUGGAAUUCCUGGUGUAGCGGUGAAAUGCGCAGAUAUCAGGAGGAACACCGGUGGCGAAGGCGGGUCUCUGGGCAGUGAACUGACGUGGAGGAACGAAAGCGUGGGUAGCAAACAG
rnacentral:rRNA from 1 species